GCGGCGUGCUUCAUACAUGCAAGUCGAACGAGAAGCAGGAGCUUGCUCCUGUGGAAAGUGGCGGACGGGUGAGUAACACGUAGGAAAUCUGCCUUUGGGUGGGGGACAACAGUUGGAAACGACUGCUAAUACCCCAUAUGAGCUUGGUUGCAAUACCAAUCUUGAAAACUCCGGUGCCUAAAGAUGAGCCUGCGUCUGAUUAGCUUGUUGGCGGGGUAAUGGCCCACCAAGGCGACGAUCAGUAGCUGGUUUGAGAGGAUGAUCAGCCACAAUGGGACUGAGACACGGCCCCUACUCCUACGGGAGGCAGCAGUAGGGAAUUUUGCGCAAUGGGGGAAACCCUGACGCAGCAACGCCGCGUGAAUGACGAAGCCCUUCGGAGUGUAAAGUUCUGUCAGUAGGGAAGAAUUUUGACUGUACCUACAAAGGAAGCACCGGCUAACUCCGUGCCAGCCGCCGCCGUAA
rnacentral:rRNA from 1 species